UACGUAGGGUGCGAGCGUUGUCCGGAAUUAUUGGGCGUAAAGGGCUCGUAGGCGGUCUGUCACGUCGGGAGUGAAAACACGGGGCUUAACCCCGUGCCUGCUUCCGAUACGGGCAGACUAGAGGUAUGCAGGGGAGAACGGAAUUCCUGGUGUAGCGGUGAAAUGCGCAGAUAUCGGGAGGAACACCGGUGGCGAAGGCGGUUCUCUGGGCCUUACCUGACGCUGAGGAGCGAAAGCGUGGGGAGCAAAACAGGG
rnacentral:rRNA from 1 species